AGUGUGAUUGCUGGAUCCUAUGGUAAUACUAUGUUUAGUUUCAGAAGAAACUGCCAAAGUGUAUUCCAAAGUGGCUGUACCAUUUUCCAUUCUCAUCAGCAAU
rnacentral:pre_miRNA from 1 species